AUUGAACGCUGGCGGCAGGCCUAACACAUGCAAGUCGAGCGAGCUGCGGACGGGUGAGUAAUGUAUGGAGAUCUGCCCGAUAGAGGGGUAUAACUGCUGUAAACGUUGGCUAAUACCGCAUACUCUCCGUUGACCCCAUAGGGGAUUAGCUAGUAGGUGGGGUAAAGGCUCACCGAGGCGACGAUCUCUAGCUGGGCUGAGAGGAUGAUCAGCAACACUGGGACUGAGACACGGCCCAGACUCCUACGGGAGGCAGCAGUGGGGAAUAUUGCACAAUGGGCGAAAGCCUGAUGCAGCCAGGCCGCGUGUAUGAAGAAGGCCUUAGGGUUGUAAAGUACUGUCAGCGGGGAGGCGUUACCCGCAGAAGAAGCACCGGCUAACUCCGUGCCAGCAGCCGCGGUAAUAC
rnacentral:rRNA from 1 species